GACAGGUGGUGCAUGGUUGUCGUCAGCUCGUGUCGUGAGAUGUUGGGUUAAGUCCCGCAACGAGCGCAACCCUUGAUCUUAGUUGCCAGCAUUCAGUUGGGCACUCUAAGGUGACUGCCGGUGACAAACCGGAGGAAGGUGGGGAUGACGUCAAAUCAUCAUGCCCCUUAUGACCUGGGCUACACACGUGCUACAAUGGACAGAACAAAGGGCAGCGAAACCGCGAGGUUAAGCCAAUCCCACAAAUCUGUUCUCAGUUCGGAUCGCAGUCUGCAACUCGACUGCGUGAAGCUGGAAUCGCUAGUAAUCGCGGAUCAGCAUGCCGCGGUGAAUACGUUCCCGGGCCUUGUACACACCGCCCGUCACACCACGAGA
rnacentral:rRNA from 1 species